UGCUGGAGGUAUCAGAAGUGCGAAUGCUGACAUAAGUAACGAUAAAGCGGGUGAAAAGCCCGCUCGCCGGAAGACCAAGGGUUCCUGUCCAACGUUAAUCGGGGCAGGGUGAGUCGACCCCUAAGGCGAGGCCGAAAGGCGUAGUCGAUGGGAAACAGGUUAAUAUUCCUGUACUCGGUGUUACUGCGAAGGGGGGACGGAGAAGGCUAUGUUAGCCGGGCGACGGUUGUCCCGGUUUAAGCAUGUAGGCGGAGAGUUUAGGUAAAUCCGGACUCUUAUCUAACGCUGAGGUGUGAUGACGAGGCACUACGGUGCUGAAGUAACAAAUGCCCUGCUUCCAGGAAAAGCCUCUAAGCAUCAGGUAACAUCAAAUCGUACCCCAAACCGACACAGGUGGUCAGGUAGAGAAUACCAAGGCGCUUGAGAGAACUCGGGUGAAGGAACUAGGCAAAAUGGUGCCGUAACUUCGGGAGAAGGCACGCUGGUGUGUAGGUGAAGUCCCUGCGGACGGAGCUGAAACCAGUCGAAGAUACCAGCUGGCUGCAACUGUUUAUUAAAAACACAGCACUGUGCAAACACGAAAGUGGACGUAUACGGUGUGACGCCUGCCCGGUGCCGGAAGGUUAAUUGAUGGGGUUAGCCGCAAGGCGAAGCUCUUGAUCGAAGCCCCGGUAAACGGCGGCCGUAACUAUAACGGUCCUAAGGUAGCGAAAUUCCUUGUCGGGUAAGUUCCGACCUGCACGAAUGGCGUAAUGAUGGCCAGGCUGUCUCCACCCGAGACUCAGUGAAAUUGAACUCGCUGUGAAGAUGCAGUGUACCCGCGGCAAGACGGAAAGACCCCGUGAACCUUUACUAUAGCUUGACACUGAACACUGGUCCUUGAUGUGUAGGAUAGGUGGGAGGCUUUGAAGCGUGGACGCCAGUCUGCGUGGAGCCAACCUUGAAAUACCACCCUUUAAUGGCUGGUGUUCUAACGUAGACCCGUAAUCCGGGUUGCGGACAGUGUCUGGUGGGUAGUUUGACUGGGGCGGUCUCCUCCUAAAGAGUAACGGAGGAGCACGAAGGUUAGCUAAUCCUGGUCGGACAUCAGGAGGUUAGUGCAAUGGCAUAAGCUAGCUUGACUGCGAGAGUGACGGCUCGAGCAGGUGCGAAAGCAGGUCAUAGUGAUCCGGUGGUUCUGAAUGGAAGGGCCAUCGCUCAACGGAUAAAAGGUACUCCGGGGAUAACAGGCUGAUACCGCCCAAGAGUUCAUAUCGACGGCGGUGUUUGGCACCUCGAUGUCGGCUCAUCACAUCCUGGGGCUGAAGUAGGUCCCAAGGGUACGGCUGUUCGCCGUUUAAAGUGGUACGCGAGCUGGGUUUAGAACGUCGUGAGACAGUUCGGUCCCUAUCUGCCGUGGGCGCUGGAGAAUUGAGGGGGGCUGCUCCUAGUACGAGAGGACCGGAGUGGACGCAUCACUGGUGUUCGGGUUGUCAUGCCAAUGGCAUUGCCCGGUAGCUAAAUGCGGAAAAGAUAAGUGCUGAAAGCAUCUAAGCACGAAACUUGCCCCGAGAUGAGUUCUCCCUGACUCUUUAAGAGUCCUGAAGGAACGUUGAAGACUACGACGUUGAUAGGUCGGGUGUGUAAGUGCAGCGAUGCAUUGAGCUAACCGAUACUAAUGAACCGUGAGGCUUAACCUUAC
rnacentral:rRNA from 1 species